rnacentral:misc_RNA from 2 species
UAGAGGAAGUAAAAGUCGUAACAAGGUUUCCGUAGGUGAACCUGCGGAAGGAUCAUUAUCGUAACAAAAUGUGCUAGGGCAUGCUCCGGCUGUCGCAGACUUGAAAAGGUCGUGCACGCGGGAGCGUGUCCUCUCACAUAACACAAUCCAUCUCACCCCUUUGUGCACCACCGCGUGGGCCCCCUUCGGGGGGCUCGCGUUUUCACACAAAACCCCCCUUUUAAAAGUGUAGAAUGACCUCUUUUUAUGAAAUCAAUACAACUUUCAACAACGGAUCUCUUGGCUCUCGCAUCGAUGAAGAACGCAGCGAAAUGCGAUACGUAAUGUGAAUUGCAGAAUUCAGUGAAUCAUCGAAUCUUUGAACGCACCUUGCGCCCCUUGGUAUUCCGAUGGGCACACCCGUUUGAGUGUCGUGAAAACCUCAACCUCCCUGGUUUCUUCUGGAGACCAAAGGAGGCUUGGACUUUGGAGGCCUUUGCUGGCGUCUCUGCCAGCUCCUCUCAAAUGAAUUAGUGGGGUCCUCUUUGCUGAUCCUUGACAUGUGAUAAGAUGCUUCCGUGUCUCGGUUUCUGGCUCUGUUGCUUUUGGGACCCGCUUCUAACCGUCUAGACCUCGCGUCGAGACAAUGUUCGAGCACACGUCUCCCUUGUCGGGAAACGUUCUCGACCCCACGAACCCUUGACCUCAAAUCGGGUGAGACUACCCGCUGAACUUAAGCAUAUCAAUA